rnacentral:tRNA from 1 species
UCCUCGAUUGUACAUUGGUGAGUGUCCCCGUCUGUCACGUGGAAGGCCCGGGUUCAAUUCCCGGUCGAGGAG